UACGUAGGGGGCAAGCGUUGUCCGGAUUUAUUGGGCGUAAAGAGCGUGUAGGCGGCUUUACAGGUCCGUUGUGAAAACUCGAGGCUCAACCUCGAGACGCCGGUGGAAACCGUAAAGCUAGAGUCCGGAAGAGGAGAGUGGAAUUCCUGGUGUAGCGGUGAAAUGCGCAGAUAUCAGGAGGAACACCGGCGGUGUAGACGGCUUGCUAGACCAUAACUGACGCUGAGGCACGAAAGCGUGGGUAGCAAACAGG
rnacentral:rRNA from 1 species